AAAUAGAGAAAUAAAAAAUAGAAAACAUUGUUUACAUUUGCUUUUUAUCAGCAGUGAAAAUAAAAAAUCCCCAAACACUGUGCUCUACAAAUUUUUGCAUCUUUUCGUUUAAAAAUGACAAAAAAUUCUUAUCAUCUCGUUUCUGCUUCCGAAAUAUUAAAAAGUAAAGAAGAUAACUCACCUAUAAAAAGAAUCAUUCAAGCUGUAUAAUCAUCACAACUCAAACGCAUCUGUAAGCAAGCACUUCAUCAGCUUAUCAUAGCUUCUAAACAAUUAAUAAUAUUAAAUUAAAUAAUACAAAAUGAAUUUCCAAGUAUUGAUUGUGCUGAUUUUCGCAUUCAUUGCCUUAUCAAUGAGUUCGGUUGAAGCUUUCCGUGACAGAGGCAGAUUUGGAGGAGGCAACGGUGGUGGAAGAAUUCCAAUUCCAACAACACCACCAUUCAAUCCUUACCCAAGGCAGAGACAUUUUUAAACUAAAUCAACAAUUUUUUAAAAAUUAACAUCUAAAUUAUAUCAAUUCGUAAAAUAAAUUAUUAUAUAAAAUUUAAAAAAAUAUAA